rnacentral:rRNA from 1 species
CUUGAGGCGUGGCUUCCGGAGCUAACGCGUUAAAUCGACCGCCUGGGGAGUACGGCCGCAAGGUUAAAACUCAAAUGAAUUGACGGGGGCCCGCACAAGCGGUGGAGCAUGUGGUUUAAUUCGAUGCAACGCGAAGAACCUUACCUGGUCUUGACAUCCACAGAACUUGCCAGAGAUGGCUUGGUGCCUUCGGGAACUGUGAGACAGGUGCUGCAUGGCUGUCGUCAGCUCGUGUUGUGAAAUGUUGGGUUAAGUCCCGCAACGAGCGCAACCCUUAUCCUUUGUUGCCAGCGGUUCGGCCGGGAACUCAAAGGAGACUGCCAGUGAUAAACUGGAGGAAGGUGGGGAUGACGUCAAGUCAUCAUGGCCCUUACGACCAGGGCUACACACGUGCUACAAUGGCAUAUACAAAGAGAAGCGACCUCGCGAGAGCAAGCGGACCUCAUAAAGUAUGUCGUAGUCCGGAUUGGAGUCUGCAACUCGACUCCAUGAAGUCGGAAUCGCUAGUAAUCGUAGAUCAGAAUGCUACGGUGAAUACGUUCCCGGGCCUUGUACACACCGCCCGUCACACCAUGGGAGUGGGUUGCAAAAGAAGUAGGUAGCUUAACCUUCGGGAGGGCGCUUACCACUUUGUGAUUCAGUGACUGGGGUGAAGUCGUA